GGCCUGUGGCUCAGGGUUAGUGCACUUGCCUGGCAUGUGUGAGGCACAGAGUUCGAUUCUCAGCACCA
rnacentral:tRNA from 1 species